UUUUUGGUCCCUGCAGGGUGCAAGAAAGAGACGUGACCACGUGGGUAAAGAUGGCAGAAGAAAAGUUAUUUCCUCGAACAGUGUAUUGAAUCAGGCGUGUGGGAUUAUUUUGACUACAGACAAAUACAUUCAACAUGUUUCAUCACCUGCGGGGGAACCACCCGACAUUGUUCACCAAAGCAAAGACGUCUCUAGCACCGUUGGAUGUUCAGGCAUUCACAUGCCCCACAUCUUUAACAUCUUCAGAGAGAAACAUUUGCCACCAUUACCUCUAAAGAACCCCAAAAUGCCAAAAAUGGCAAAGUCGUUUAAGUCAGAGGAGGGAAUGUCACAGCCGGGAAGGCACACAAGCCCAGGAGAGGAGGCUGUGAGGGAAAAGAACAAGAGUGUCAUAUCCAUUUGUAACUCCCACCGUGAUGUCAGGACGCCGGCGGGGGAUUCACCAGCUGUACAGUUACUCUGACGGAUGCAGGUGGGUGCCCUGUCUCUCAACCUAUACGCUCAUCUGUAAAGAUCUGUCUGUUUGUCUCUUCUGCGUGAACCUGUGGCUGAUAGACGGAGACAGCAGAAGAUGACAAACGGUGUCUGCGGUUGAAAUGAGGGUUACAAAGUUAAGAAUAAAGGUGAGAGAGAGAGCGUGAACAGAGAAGUGGCAGAGAUCGGGAGUAAAUGACAGAAGUCAGCAAAGUGUCACGGUGCCUGAUGGAGAGGAAGUUGGACGUAACAAGAGUACAUUACAAAGUUUUCUGUCCAUUCUGCCUGCGAUUGAACUUUUCCCCCCUCAAUUCUGAUUAAAUAUUAAAGCGUUGUAAUUAAAAGGUGACAAAGUAGGAUGCCACAGGGGGCUCAGGCUUUAUUGAUCCAGCAGUGACAAAGUAGGGCUUGUAACCCGCAGUGUGGGAGAGUGUUUGGUUGUUGGGCAGCCGUUGAAUUUGUUUUAGUCUUUCUUUUUUUUUUUGUGCUAAAAUGUUGAUACUUCAGUAUGAAGCCAUAAGACACGUUUCCUUUUUUCACAAAUCAAACUUCAAAUAAAAGCAAUGACUACUGCCUACAGCUGAAGUUGUCCACUAGAGGGCUUGAAAGACUAGGUGUGCAGACCUGGGCAACAUGCGGCCUUUAGCAUCUUUGUGUAAGAUCAUAUUUGACUGAUGCGUCAA